AUGGCAAAGUUUUGGUGGAGUGGCUCCCUAGAUCGUCGAUCUCUUCAUUGGGUGGCCUGGGAGAAACUCGCUACUCCGAAAGUUCACGGUGGAAUGGGUUUUCGUGACUUGAAGCUCUUCAAUUUGGCGCUGCUUGGCAAACACGGGUGGAGGUUCAUUACUAACCCAGAGUCGCUUGGUGCCCGGGUAAUGAAGGGGCAGUAUUUUCCUGAUAGUGAUUUCAUGGAGGCCACGGUGCCAAAGACUUCCUCUGCCAUAUGGCGAGCGAUAGUGGCUGGCAGGGCGGCGCUCCACGCUGGUCUGAUUAAGAGGGUGGGAGACGGCUCCACAAUCUCAAUUUGGCAUGAUAGAUGGAUUCCA
rnacentral:rRNA from 1 species